CCUUCAUUCAAGUGGUUGCUCAAGUCUAGAGCAUCUAGUCAAGCAUUAGAAGUGAACUAUCUGAUUUGGGUUUAUUGGUUCUCUAGACCAUCGACAUGAGAAUUUACUCUGAUUGCUUUACUCUGCUUCUGCUUCUCAUUUCGUCCAUACUAGAUGUGCAAGGGAACCCAUUGCAAAACAAAG